rnacentral:rRNA from 1 species
CAAUGCCUACGGGGCGCAGCAGUGGGGGAUAUUGCACAAUGGGGGGAACCCUGAUGCAGCGACGCCGCGUGGGUGAAGAAGCGCCUCGGCGCGUAAAGCCCUGUCAGCAGGGAAGAAAAUGACGGUACCUGAAGAAGAAGCCCCGGCUAACUACGUGCCAGCAGCCGCGGUAAUACGUAGGGGGCAAGCGUUAUCCGGAUUUACUGGGUGUAAAGGGGGCGCAGACGGCGAUGCAAGCCAGGAGGGAAAGCCCGGGGCCCAACCCCGGGACUGAUCUUGGAACUGCGCGGCUGGAGUGCAGGCGG